rnacentral:rRNA from 1 species
UAGGGAAUAUUGGACAAUGGGGGCAACCCUGAUCCAGCCAUGCCGCGUGAGUGAAGAAGGCCCUCGGGUUGUAAAGCUCUUUUGUCCGGAAAGAAAAGCAUUCGGUGAAUACCCGGAUGUUCUGACGGUACCGGAAGAAUAAGCACCGGCUAACUUCGUGCCAGCAGCCGCGGUAAUACGAAGGGUGCAAGCGUUAAUCGGAAUUACUGGGCGUAAAGCGUGCGUAGGUGGUUGUUUAAGUCUGAUGUGAAAGCCCUGGGCUCAACCUGGGGAUGGCAUUGGAAAGUGGGCAGCUAGAGUGCGGUAGAGGGGAGUGGAAUUCCCGGUGUAGCAGUGAAAUGCGUAGAGAUCGGGAGGAACAUCUGUGGCGAAGGCGACUGCCUGGACCAGCACUGACACUGAGGCACGAAAGCGUGGGGAGCAAA